rnacentral:rRNA from 1 species
AGUGAACGCUGGCGGUAGGCCUAACACAUGCAAGUCGAACGGCAGCACAGUAAGAGCUUGCUCUUACGGGUGGCGAGUGGCGGACGGGUGAGGAAUACAUCGGAAUCUACUUUUUCGUGGGGGAUAACGUAGGGAAACUUACGCUAAUACCGCAUACGACCUACGGGUGAAAGCAGGGGAUCUUCGGACCUUGCGCGAUUGAAUGAGCCGAUGUCGGAUUAGCUAGUUGGCGGGGUAAAGGCCCACCAAGGCGACGAUCCGUAGCUGGUCUGAGAGGAUGAUCAGCCCAACUGGAACUGAGACACGGCCCAGACCCCUACGGGAGGCAGAAGUGGGGAAAUUUGGAAAAUGGGCGCAAGCCUGACCCAGCCAUCCCGGGUGGGGGAAGAAGGCCUUCGGGUUGUAAAGCCCUUUUGUUGGGAAAAAAAAGCAGCAGGUUAAAACCCCGCUUUUUGGACGGUACCCAAAGAAUAAGCACCGGCUAACUUCGG